CCAAUAGCGUAUAUUAAAGUUGCUGCAGUUAAAAAGCUCGUAGUUGAAUUUCGGGACCACUAUGUCGGUCGUGCUUCGGUACGUACUGUCAUUAUUGGUUUCUCCCUUCUGAAGAACCUUGAUGUCAUUAAUUUGGUGUCUUGGGGAAUCAGGACUGUUACUUUGAAAAAAUUAGAGUGUUUAAAGCAGGCUCGCGCUUGAAUACAUUAGCAUGGAAUAAUGAAAUAGGACGUUUGAUUCUAUUUUGUUGGUUUCUAGGAUCGACGUAAUGAUUAAUAGGGAUAUUUGGGGGCAUUAGUAUUCAAUUGUCAGAGGUGAAAUUCUUGGAUUUAUUGAAGACUAACUACUGCGAAAGAAUUUGGCAAGGAUGUUUUCAUUAAUCAAGAACGAAAGUUAGGGGAUCGAAGACGAUCAGAUACCGUUGUAGUCUUAACCAUAAACUAUGCCGACUAGGGAUCGGAUGAUGUUAAUUUUUUAAUGACUCAUUCGGCGCCUUACG
rnacentral:rRNA from 1 species